AAACUCUUACCCUUCAAAACGCCACGUGGCAAUUUCAUAUUUUUUUAAAAUUUUCUAAGCAAAAUUUAAUCAGCAAAUUGAAUCCGUGCACCGCAAUUAAAGCUUCGUUCCAGACUUUUCACCUUUCUUCAUUUCCAAAGCUCACCUGUUCGUAUUCGCCUCCUAGACUUUUCCCCUUUCUCUCAUCUCUAUAGCUCCUCUCUCUCCCUCCCACAAAACUCUGAGUUCAACCUUCUCAUCUUCCCAAGUCCUCCGCCAGGGAUUCUGUCGCAGGUGGAGUUUUAUUUCAGUGACAGCAAUCUUCCGAGGGACAAGUUCUUGAAGCAAAAGGUUGAAGCGGGCGAAGAUGGAUGUAUGCUUUGUUUGCUUCAACAUCAAAUUUUUUCUUUUAAAGCUUAUUUUUUCAUUCUAAUCCUGGUAUGUUUUUUGUUGUGGUGAGUUUGGGUUUGAUAUGUUCCUUUGCUCGGAUGAGAACCCAUCUUGGAUUGGGUGAGGUGAAGUAGGAGGCGGUGCCGGAGGAUAAAGUGUUGGCGGUGGCGGAGACAUUGAGGAAGUCUAACGUAAAAGUGUCUGAAGAUGGAUUCAAUGUGGAGACUGUUGAGUUCAAGAACAUUAGCUUCAUUGUUUGGGAUGUCGGGGGUCAGGAUAAGAUCAGACCUUUGUAGAGGCAUUACUUCCAGAAUACACGGUCUUAUUUUUGUCGUUGACAGCGAUGACAGAGAUCGUGUUUUUGAGCCAAGGGAUGAGCUUCACAGGAUGUUGAAUGAGUAAGAGACAUGGCGAGUUGCUGGAGAUCAACAACUUGAUGCUAUUUAGUUGAGGAAAUGAAGCAUUUGCUGCGUUACUUCGUGUUGCCAAUAAAUACUAGCAAACAUGCAAAGUGCAUCAGAGCAUCUUGAAAGCUACGACCUGGGGGAAAAACCUGCAACCCCUCCCUCAGUAACAGAAAGAAGAAAAAUGUGAAUCAUACCACGGCGUAGAUGCAAGAAAAGACCACGAUAGUCAGGAACCGGCCAAGAUACGCAUCCGCAAGAAACGCUCCCAGGAUGGUCAGUAUAAAUGCUGCUCCGACCCAAUCGUUAACGUGCGUCGCUGCGUCUGGCAACGACUGGUGCAUCUCCUUCACAAGUUAUACGGAUAGAUAGACGGACAGACAGAUAGACGGGCAGAAGUGUCGGAAGUUUCGUAUACCGAUAAUGAACGGAGAGGCUUUCCAUCCUCCAGUCAUGGCCUUAACGGCGAUCCUGCCACGAAAAUCAACGGAUCCAUUGGUCACCAACGCUGAUGAAGUUGUCAUGUCUCCGAAAGUUUUGGAGUCUCCUUCUGUCCCCAUUUUUGAUAAGGUACUCUUCAAUGUUUCUCAGGGGGAGAGGUUGCUUGUGAUAUAAAGGAGGUGAUGCAUCACAAUGGGAUAUCCUAGUGUUGCUGUCUCAAAGCACCGUGAUGUCCUUGGACUUAGUCCGAGCGCUCGAGGAUUAUUCAUUGGGACAUCUUGGGGCAAGUGCAAUUAUGCCAGGCUUCACUUUAAGCGAUAGGUUAGGAUACGAGUGGUUUCAAGGGAUCGUUUGGUCCGUGCCUGACGUAUGCAGGGGAUAUUAGCCGGCUUGAUAUGGUUUAGGACAAACAUGUAAUUUUGUUAACGCACUUUUUCUUUGAUAUUAAAAAGAUAAAGAGCCAUGUCCAAAUGGUAUCAAACGGUUGGAAUUUGAGGCUAAGGUGUCCAUUUGGUUGCCUGUGAUCUCAAGUCCAGGAUUUUUGA